rnacentral:tRNA from 1 species
AGUUUUAUAGUCAUGAAUGAUAUUAGAUUGCAAUUCUAAAGGAAUAAUAAAAUUAUUAUUAAAACUU